CCUACGGGAGGCAGCAGUGAGGAAUAUUGCACAAUGGGCGAAAGCCUGAUGCAGCGACGCCGCGUGAGCGAAGAAGUAUUUCGGUAUGUAAAGCUCUAUCAGCAGGGGAAGAGUGAUGACGGUACGCUGACUAAGAAGCCCCGGCUAACUACGUGCCAGCAGCCGCGGUAAU
rnacentral:rRNA from 1 species